UACGGGGGGGGGGCAAGCGUUGUUCGGAAUUACUGGGCGUAAAGCGUGCGCAGGCGGUUUUGUAAGUCUGUCGUGAAAUCCCCGGGCUUAACCUGGGAAUUGCGAUGGAGACUGCAAGGCUAGAAUCUGGCAGAGGGGGGUAGAAUUCCACGUGUAGCAGUGAAAUGCGUAGAGAUGUGGAGGAACACCGAUGGCGCAAGGCAGCCCCCUGGGAUCAAGA
rnacentral:rRNA from 1 species